rnacentral:tRNA from 1 species
AGUGAGAUGGCAGAGGGGUGAUGCGUAUCGCUGUAAACGGUAUUACGAGGGUUCAAUUCUCUCUUUCACUA